rnacentral:rRNA from 1 species
GAUGAACGCUGGCGGCGUGCCUAAUACAUGCAAGUCGAGCGAACAGAUGAGGAGCUUGCUCCUCUGACGUUAGCGGCGGACGGGUGAGUAACACGUGGAUAACCUACCUAUAAGACUGGGAUAACUUCGGGAAACCGGAGCUAAUACCGGAUAAUAUAUUGAACCGCAUGGUUCAAUAGUGAAAGACGGUUUUGCUGUCACUUAUAGAUGGAUCCGCGCCGCAUUAGCUAGUUGGUAAGGUAACGGCUUACCAAGGCAACGAUGCGUAGCCGACCUGAGAGGGUGAUCGGCCAAACUGGAACUGAGACCAGGUCCAGACUCCUACGGGAGGCAGCAGUAGGGAAUCUUCCGGAAUGGGCGAAAGCCUGACGGAGCAACGCCGCGUGAGUGAUGAAGGUCUUCGGAUCGUAAAACUCUGUUAUUAGGGAAGAACAAAUGUGUAAGUAACUAUGCACGUCUUGACGGUACCUAAUCAGAAAGCCACGGCUAACUACGUG